AAUCAACGCUGGCGGCGUGCCUCAGACAUGCAAGUCGAACGCGAAAGUUCCCUUCGGGGAGCGAGUAGAGUGGCGCACGGGUGAGUAACACGUGGAUAAUUUACCUUCGGGUGGGGAAGUAACAACCGGAAACGGUUGCUAAUACCGCAUAAUGCAGCGGCAUCUAUGAUGACAGUUGUUAAAGCGGGGGAUCGCAAGACCUCGCGCCUGAAGAGAAGUCCGCGGCAGANAGCUAGUUGGUAGGGUAAUGGCCUACCAAGGCGACGAUCUGUAGCCGGCCUGAGAGGGCGGUCGGCCACACUGACACUGACAUACGGGUCAGACUCCUACGGGAGGCAGCAGUCGGGAAUUUUGGGCAAUGGGCGAAAGCCUGACCCAGCAACGCCGCGUGAAGGA
rnacentral:rRNA from 1 species